UACGUAGGGUGCGAGCGUUAAUCGGAAUUACUGGGCGUAAAGCGUGCGUAGGCGGUUCGUUAAGUUCGUUGUGAAAGCCCCGGGCUCAACCUGGGAACUGCGCUUGUAACUAGCGGGCUAGAGUGCGGCAGAGGGGGGUGGAAUUCCACGUGUAGCAGUGAAAUGCGUAGAGAUGUGGAGGAACACCGAUGGCGAAGGCAGCCCCCUGGGUCGACACUGACGCUCAUGCACAAAAGCGUGGGGAGCAAACAGG
rnacentral:rRNA from 1 species